rnacentral:rRNA from 1 species
GACGAACGCUGGCGGCGUGCUUAACACAUGCAAGUCGAACGAAGUGGCGCACGGGUGAGUAACGCGUCAUCAACCUGCCCUUCAGAGGGGGACAACAGUUGGAAACGACUGCUAAUACCGCAUACUGAAGGAGGGGAUUGCGUCUGAUAAGCUCGUUGGAGGGGUAACGGCCCACCAAGGCUAUGAUCAGUAGCCGGUCUGAGGGGAUGAACGGCAACAGUGAGACUGAGACACGGCCCAGACUCCUACGGGAGGCAGCAGUGGGGAAUCGUCCGCAAUGGACGAAAGUCUGACGGAGCAACGCCGCGUGAGUGAUGACUGCCUUCGGGUUGUAAAGCUCUGUUAAUCGGGACGCGGUACCGGAAUAGAAAGCCACGGCUAACUACGUUCCAGCAGCCGCGGUAAUUC